UACGGGGGGGGCAAGCGUUGUUCGGAAUUACUGGGCGUAAAGGGCGCGUCGGCGGAUGAGCAAGUCUGUGGUGAAAUCCCCCGGCUUAACCGGGGAACUGCCGUGGAUACUGCACAUCUCGAGGAAGAUAGGGGCGUCUGGAACUAGCGGUGGAGCGGUGAAAUGCGUUGAUAUCGCUAGGAACUCCGGUGGCGAAGGCGAGACGCUGGAUCUUUUCUGACGCUGAGGCGCGAAAGCCAGGGGAGCGAACGGG
rnacentral:rRNA from 1 species